GCUCCUGCCACCCUUACCCUUUCUGGAACAACGCAUGCUUUUGAAAAAUGACCAUGCCGAAGGGAAACUAACUAAGCCUGGAGCAGGUCUUGUCAAUCUGAUUUUUAAAUGAUGGAGGAGGUUUCAGGACAAAGCUGUGGUGGCAUUACUGCUAUCCAGGAUGAUGCAAAAAUCAAGUGGAAAGGAGGGAAGGCGCUUCUGGAUGUGAGCACAUUCACAGCCUCGGAGGACAGAGAGGUAUUUAAAGUGAGCUGGAAGGAACCUGCAACAUCAGGUGCGUUCUGCCUUCAAAAAUAGCUGCCAGUUAGAAAGGGUUAUUUACAUAUUGAUUUCAUGCUAACUUUGUAAUGGAAUGUGCUGCCUGCCUGCCUGAGACCUAACAACUGUCAUCAUAAUUUUUUCUAAAAAUACAGUCAGAGGAAAACAUUAAUUGAGCCCUCCACUGGAAAGAGGCUACAAAGACCACUGAUCUCAAUCUACUGGACAGACCACCGGGGGCAGAGACUGUCCACAGCCACAGCUGAGGAAUAAUUCCACAGCUGCAGUCUGCCCUCCCUUCUUCCAACCAGCCUGCUCUCUAAUUUUUUUGUCUUUCUAGAAAAUCAAAGGCCUGAUGGAGCUGAUUCGGUUGUGAUCCUGGGCAUAUGGAUGGCAUAUUCCCUGGGAGCUAGCCUGUCCCCGCUGCUGGGGACAAAUCUUUCAUUCAUGAACAGAAGCUUGUUAGGCCAACUCCGGGCUCUAAAGCCACUUAAUUACAUUGUGGAAAGU